GCUUGGCCUUAGACGAUAUUCAGUAUGAGGUAAUAAAUGGUGUAAAUUUAUACCAUUUUUAUUAAAGCAGAUCUAUGGGGUCAUAUAAAGAUCUUCCAGGCUUUUGUAUCCAUUUUCACCGUCUUCAAUAUGCGAAGAUAUGAAGUGUGCUGAAUGUCCAUUGUCUGGGAAUAUUACAUUUGGCAGAAUCAUAAACCAAAGUCACCAUUUUAUUCAAUUCCACUGUGCGAUAGAUAAAGAAAUGAUAUGUGCAACAUUGUCAUGACAACAAAAUGUGUUUACCAUGUUAAUUAUAGUAGAGCCUGGGGCUAGUUGUCACAAUCUCUAUUUAAUCACAGGAACUAAGGUUUCUAAAGUCCAAUUAUACAAAUGUGUGUUUACCUAAAUGAUCUGCAUGUUGGUUCUGUGAAUUCUAUCCACCAAGACACAUUUCUACUUUCAUCAUACUUUUAGAAUUGCUGUUUGGUUACACUUGAACACAAUAAAAUCACGCUGACACACAUUCUGACAUUCAAGAGUCACUAUAUAACAACAAUUUGAACUGAAAGGUUGAAACUGGUGUUUUCAGGACAAAAGCAUUGCUCACAAAUAUCAAGUCGAGGCAAGUUGUCACGUGCUUAACAUUUAUGCAAAUAUUUAUUAUGAUUUCUCAGAACAGUGGUUUAAUAUUUCCGUUCGUUAUCCUUCUGUUUUAAAGGGAUCAUCAGAUGCGAAAUUCACUUUUACAUGUUGUUUGAACUGAAAUGUGUCUUGGCAGUGUGUGUGCACAUCCACCCUAUAAUGAUAAAAAUGCAUUCAUAUUAAGCUGUUCUCAGAGUUGUGACACUGUCACAAAGGACUGUUUUAACCUGCUCAAUUUAUUAUAAUGAUUUUAUGUAUAUUUGAGUUUUAAUAGGUUUUCAUGUUGUCAUGGCCAUUUUAUUCCUCUUAAAGGAGUCCUAUUAUGCGUUUUUUAACUUUUUCAACUUUAUUUAGUCUGUAAUGUUGCUGUUUGAGCAUAAAACAGAUCUGCAAAGUUACAAAGCUCAAAGUCCAAUUCAAAAGGAGAUAUUUUAUUUAACAGAAAUCACUUUUCAAAAACCACAACGAACGACUCGUUUGGACUGCAACGCAUAUUUUCCGGGAUUUGUGAUAUCACAAAGAUCGACGAAUGGGACGAGACCUGGUUAAGCUGCACUAGAGAAGGCAACGAGUGUUAUCACUAUGUUGGAGACAAGCUAGCUUUCCCAAGGCAGACGAGCUUAGAGUGGUUACAAUCAUCCGGGUUUAAAUCGCGCUCAAACUGAUUUGACUUUGAUGCAAUAUUUACACUGAAGCUCACAGCAGCUGCCAAUCACAACACACACUGGCCCAGCUAACCAAUCACAAAACAGAUUGGAGCAGCUAACCAAUCACAGUGCAUUUCGGAUUUCAGAAGGCGGGCCUUCAUUUGAUGC
ensembl:lncRNA